UACGUAGGGGCCUAGCGUUGUCCGGAUUUAUUGGGCGUAAAGAGCUCGUAGGCGGUUCGGCAAGUCAGCUGUGAAAUCUCCACGCUUAACGUGGAGGGGUCAGCUGAUACUGCCGUGACUCGAGUCCGGUAGGGGAGUGUGGAAUUCCGAGUGUAGAGGUGAAAUUCGUAGAUAUUCGGAAGAACACCAGUGGCGAAGGCGACUCGCUGGACAGACAUUGACGCUGAGGUGCGAAAGCGUGGGGAGCAAACAGG
rnacentral:rRNA from 1 species